rnacentral:rRNA from 1 species
UACGUAGGAGGCAAGCGUUGUCCGGAAUCACUGGGCGUAAAGCGCGUGUAGGUGGAGCAGGAAGUCUGCUGUGAAAGCGCCUGGCUUAACCGGGCGAGGUCGGUGGAAACUGCGGGGCUUGAGUUCGGGAGAGGGAAGCGGAAUUCCGGGUGUAGCGGUGAAAUGCGUAGAUAUUGGGAAGAACACCGGUGGCGAAGGCGGCUCACUGGCUCAUUACUGACGCUCAGGCGCGAUAGCGUGGGGAUCAAACAGG